ACUUUUUUUGUGUUUUUAUUUAUAAAUACAGAAUAUAUAUUUUUCUUGAAUGCAGUGAAUUAAAAAGUAUACUUCUUUAUCCGAAUGUGUUUUCCUAUUCUGGUGAAAAGCUAAGGAAGUGUGACAGGGAGGAACAGGGGGGGGGGGGGGCAAAGAUGUGAAGAUAUGACAAAGUCAUUUAUAGCAUUAGUGAGGACACAAAAUGACACAUUGAACUGGAAACAUACUUUUCUUGGUAACGUUUUAUUUUAAAGACAUGUUUUAGCACAUAGAAGUGUUUAGUAACAUAACAUUCAGCCAUAUUUGGUUUCAUACUCUCCUUGACUCCUUCUCUUAUUAAUUGACGUCAUAAAAGACCACAUGACUUAUAAAAAAAUGACACAGAAUAAUGUUCAAAGAAAUUGAGUUCUACUUUCGAUCACAAGCGAGAGGAGUAAUUUCGGUGUUUUCCUUGUUUAGAAACUGCCUCGCAAAAGUUAUCGUAUUUUUUAAGCAAACACAUGUAUUGUUUAAACACUCACGCUGUCACGUGAUUUUUUACUAUAAAAGCAGAUUACACUUUUAAACAUUUAAAUAUAAAAAAGUAAAAGGUUAAAGCUUAAGAAAGAAGAAUUAUUACAUUGCUCAAAAGUUCGUUGUCACACCAUGGAAUCGUCAAAUUCAACAAAUAAUGUUAAACAAACCAAAUUCAAAUGGAACAAAAAGAUAUUGGACUCCAUCAUAAUUCAUCGUAAAAAUUACCAAGAAAACGCGAAGAGAAAAGAAGCUACAACGACAGAAAAAGAACAAACAAACAAAUACUCGCACGUUACCUUCGCAAUUAAAGAAGAAUUCUGAAGCUCUCGGAAAAUACAAUCACAAAGGAAAAACUAUGUUUGCCCGAUGGUUUCACACAAUUUAUCCGCUCGUGCUUUAGGUUAUUGUCGACACGAGUCUUACUUACAAUGUUUCUUGGAGUAGGAAGUCAUUUUUGUAUACGAGUAUAUGUGAUUGGCAUUUAAGCUCAUCUAUUUCCCUGCGACUUAUGGCUGCUAUUUCGUAGCAAAUAUGAACCCAGAAUGCCUAGUAAUAAAAUGUUUGAUUUAUAUAUUUUAAAUUUCUUUAUCAAGUACAACAGACGGAUUUUUAAUACCCUUAGUGGAAACAAAAAAUGAUCAACUGA